UACCUGCAGCCCGAGUGGUGGCCGUUAUUAUUGGGCCUAAAACGUCCGUAGCCGGUUGGGUAGAUGCCUGUGUAAAUCGAACGGCUUAACCGUUCGAAUUGCGGGUAGACCGCCCGACUUGGGACCGGGAGAGUCACGAAGUACUCCGGGGGUAGAGGUGAAAUUCUGUAAUCCUCGGGGGACUACCGGUGGCGAAGGCGUCGUGAUAGAACGGCUCAGACGGUGAGGGACGAAGACCUGGGGCGCAAACCGG
rnacentral:rRNA from 1 species